CCUACGGGGGGCAGCAGUGAGGAAUAUUGGUCAAUGGACGAGAGUCUGAACCAGCCAAGUAGCGUGAAGGAUGACUGCCCUAUGGGUUGUAAACUUCUUUUAUAUGGGAAUAAAAUGUUCCACGUGUGGGAUUUUGUAUGUACCAUAUGAAUAAGGAUCGGCUAACUCCGUGCCAGCAGCCGCGGUAAUACGGAGGAUCCGAGCGUUAUCCGGAUUUAUUGGGUUUAAAGGGAGCGUAGGUGGAUUGUUAAGUCAGUUGUGAAAGUUUGCGGCUCAACCGUAAAAUUGCAGUUGAAACUGGCAGUCUUGAGUACAGUAGAGGUGGGCGGAAUUCGUGGUGUAGUGGUGAAAUGCUUAGAUAUCACGAAGAACUCCGAUUGCGAAGGCAGUUCACUGGACUGCAACUGACACUGAGGCUCGAAAGUGUGGGUAUCAAACAGGAUUAGAUACCCGGGUAGUC
rnacentral:rRNA from 1 species